rnacentral:tRNA from 1 species
GGAUCUAUAGCUCAGUUGGUAGAGCAAGGGACUGAAAAUCCCUAUGUCGUUAGUUCGAUUCUAACUGGAUCAGCUA